rnacentral:rRNA from 1 species
CUGAGUACGGCGGAACACGUGAAAUUCCGUCGGAAUCCGGGAGGACCAUCUCCCAAGGCUAAAUACUCCCUAGUGACCGAUAGUGAACCAGUACCGUGAGGGAAAGGUGAAAAGCACCCCGGAAGGGGAGUGAAACAGUUCCUGAAACCGUGUGCCUACAAGUAGUUAGAGCCCGUUAAUGGGUGAUAGCGUGCCUUUUGUAGAAUGAACCGGCGAGUUACGAUUUGUUGCAAGGUUAAGCGGAAAAAGCGGAGCCGUAGCGAAAGCGAGUCUGAAUAGGGCGCAUAAGUAACAGGUCGUAGACCCGAAACCAGGUGAUCUACCCAUGUCCAGGAUGAAGGUAAGGUAAUACUUACUGGAGGUCCGAACCCACGCACGUUGAAAAGUGCGGGGAUGAGGUGUGGGUAGCGGAGAAAUUCCAAUCGAACUUGGAGAUAGCUGGUUCUCUCCGAAAUAGCUUUAGGGCUAGCCUCGAGGUAAAGAGUCAUGGAGGUAGAGCACUGUUUGGACUAGGGGCCCUUCUCGGGUUACCGAAUUCAGAUAAACUCCGAAUGCCAUGUACUUAUACUCGGGAGUCAGACUGCGAGUGAUAAGAUCCGUAGUCGAAAGGGAAACAGCCCAGACCACCAGUUAAGGUCCCCAAAUAUAUGUUAAGUGGAAAAGGAUGUGGGGUUGCUUAGACAACCAGGAUGUUGGCUUAGAAGCAGCCACCAUUGAAAGAGUGCGUAAUAGCUCACUGGUCGAGUGACCCCGCGCCGAAAAUGUACCGGGGCUAAACAUAUUACCGAAACUGUGGAUGAACCUCUUUAGAGGUUCGUGGUAGGAGAGCGUUCUAAGGGCGGUGAAGUCAGACCGGAAGGACUGGUGGAGCGCUUAGAAGUGAGAAUGCCGGUAUGAGUAGCGAAAGAAGGGUGAGAAUCCCUUCCACCGAAUAUCUAAGGU